UACGUAGGGGCCUAGCGUUGUCCGGAAUUAUUGGGCGUAAAGAGCUCGUAGGCGGUUCGGCAAGUCGGAUGUGAAAUCUCCACGCUUAACGUGGAGGGGCCAUUCGAAACUGCUGUGACUCGAGUCCGGUAGGGGAGUGUGGAAUUCCCGGUGUAGCGGUGAAAUGCGCAGAUAUCGGGAGGAACACCAGUAGCGAAGGCGGCACUCUGGGCCGGAACUGACGCUGAUGCACGAAAGCUAGGGGAGCAAACAGG
rnacentral:rRNA from 1 species